AUGGUAAAACGAGGGCUUAGCUGUCUUCUUUUUUAUGUCAAUGAAAUUGAUUUUCUCGUGCAAAAGCGAGGAUAACCUCAUAAGACGAGAAGACCCUGUGAAGCUUUAGAUAAUAUACAGAUUUGGUCAAGGACCCCCUGAUAAGGGAUUUAGUUACUGACUUCUGUUUUAUUGUCUUCGGUUGGGGCGACCACGGGGAGUCAUACAACCCCCGCGUGGAGUGGGUACAAGAGUAUUUUUGUCCUUAGAAUUAAGAGCUUCUGCUCUAAAAAACAGAAUUUCUGACCUUGUAAGAUCCGGCAGUGCCGAUUAACGGACCAAGUUACUCCAGGGAUAACAGCGCCAUCCUCUUUCAGAGUUCUUAUCGACAAGGGGGUUUACGACCUCGAUGUUGGAUCAGGACAUCCUAAUGGUGCAGUCGCUAUUAAGGGUUCGUUUGUUCAACGAUUAAUAGUCCUACGUGAUCU
rnacentral:rRNA from 1 species